CGAGGGGCAGCGGGGGUGCAGGCUUGCCUGCACCUGCCGGCGACCGGCGCACGGGUGAGUAACACGUAUGGAACCUGCCCGCCACAGGGGGAUAACCCGGGGAAACCCGGCCUAAUACCCCAUGCCGCCCGGACCGGGCAUCCGGACCGGGCGAAAGGAGGAAUCCGGUGGCGGCUGGGCAUGCGGCGCAUUAGCUUGACGGCGGGGUAACGGCCCACCGUGGCGACGAUGCGUAGGGGUUCUGAGAGGAAGGCCCCCCACACUGGAACUGAGACACGGUCCAGACUCCUACGGGAGGCAGCAGUGAGGAAUAUUGGUCAAUGGGCGGAAGCCUGAACCAGCCAAGUCGCGUGAGGGAAUAAGGCCCUACGGGUCGUAAACCUCUUUUGCCGGGGAGCAAGGGCCGGGACGAGUCCCGGUCCGGAGAGUACCCGGAGAAAAAGCAUCGGCUAACUCCGUGCCAGCAGCCGCGGUAAUACGGAGGAUGCGAGCGUUAUCCGGAUUUAUUGGGUUUAAAGGGUGCGUAGGCGGGCUUUUAAGUCAGCGGUAAAAAUUCGGGGCUCAACCCCGUCCGGCCGUUGAAACUGGGGGCCUUGAGUGGGCGAGAAGAAGGCGGAAUGCGUGGUGUAGCGGUGAAAUGCAUAGAUAUCACGCAGAACCCCGAUUGCGAAGGCAGCCUUCCGGCGCCCUACUGACGCUGAGGCACGAAAGUG
rnacentral:rRNA from 1 species